rnacentral:rRNA from 1 species
AAAGGAAUUGACGGGGACCCGCACAAGCAGCGGAGCAUGUGGUUUAAUUCGAAGCAACGCGAAAAACCUUACCAAGACUUGACAUCGUAUGAUCGUCAUAGAAAUAUGAUUUUCUCUUCGGAGACAUAUAGACAGAUGGUGCAUGGUUGUCGUCAGCUCGUGUCGUGAGAUGUUGGGUUAAGUCCCAAAACGAGCGCAACCCUUAUCAGUAAUUGCCAAUAUUAAGUUAGGAACCAUGCUGAGACUGCCGCCGUAAGGUGGAGGAAGGAAGGGACGACGUCAAAUCAUCAUGCCUCUUACGUCUUGGGCUACACACGUGCUACAAUGGCCAUUACAAAGAGCAGCAACAUGGUAACAUCAAGCAAAUCUCAUAAAAAUGGUCUCAGUUCGGAUUGUGGGCUGAAACUCGCCCACAUGAAGCAGGAGUUGCUAGUAAUCCCGAAUCAGAAUGUCGGGGUGAAUGCGUUCCCGGGUCUUGUACACACCGCCCGU